UAUUGAUAUGGGUCUACAGUGUGUAUAAACAUAUUUUUCAUUAUGUUUAUUUUUCUACAGACGGAUCUGAUUCUGUAGUGAUCUCCUUUGCUGUAGCGUUGGCAGUGUGUGUGGUCGUGAUUUUUGCUCAAGCUAUUCUAUACUGUAAAAAACAAAACUCAGUGAAACUACCACAAAGUGCUUUGAUAGAGAAAACACACAAUCAGGCCCGUGAUGCCGUGGAGAUGAAUUAUGCUGCCCUAAAUUUCACUGAGAGGAAAACUAAAAGCGAAAGAGCCAAAAAAAGACAACCUCAAGAUACUGUUUAUUCUGAAGUGAUAUACACUCCUGUUACUUAGAUUACUGUUAAUUUAUCACUAAUUGUUAUAACAGAUGUUUGUCUGCUCAAAAGCAAUGUUUGAGCCAAAUCGAUGUAAAAGCAUUCAUUGUCACAUGAAACCAAGUGACAGUGAAAAAUCUUAAACUUCGUCAUAUGUUACAGGACUUGCCUAAAAAGGUUUGAGCGAAAUGUUGAGUAGCAAUUGUAAUGAGAAAAUUCGACAUUGUGAAUCAUGCUGCUAUAAUGACAUAAUUUUGCCAAAAAGUGCUUUUUAACCUAUGCAUAAUUUUAUAUAACUGAUAAAGUGGUGUGGCCUGUUUAUUUAUCAACUUGUAUAACUAUUUUAUUGUUUUCUACUGUGCAACAUCUCCAAAAUCAUGGUGUAAUAGUCCAGUCUGGAGGUGAUAAUUUGUGCUUGUGGAGAUCAGCAUGAUUCACCGGAGCUAAACCAUUUAGAACUUUAAACAUCAUGAGCAGAAUGUUGUCAAGAAAGUGGAACUUAUUGGACAGACAUAUGACAAGGAUAAUGUGCACUGAAUUACUUUCCCUGCACUGUAAAACCGGAUAAGUUCAUUU